rnacentral:rRNA from 1 species
CCUACGGGAGGCAGCAGUGGGGAAUAUUGCACAAUGGGCGCAAGCCUGAUGCAGCGACGCCGCGUGCGGGAUGACGGCCUUCGGGUUGUAAACCGCUUUUGACUGGGAGCAAGCCCUUCGGGGUGAGUGUACCUUUCGAAUAAGCACCGGCUAACUACGUGCCAGCAGCCGCGGUAAUACGUAGGGUGCAAGCGUUAUCCGGAAUUAUUGGGCGUAAAGGGCUCGUAGGCGGUUCGUCGCGUCCGGUGUGAAAGUCCAUCGCUUAACGGUGGAUCCGCGCCGGGUACGGGCGGGCUUGAGUGCGGUAGGGGAGACUGGAAUUCCCGGUGUAACGGUGGAAUGUGUAGAUAUCGGGAAGAACACCAAUGGCGAAGGCAGGUCUCUGGGCCGUCACUGACGCUGAGGAGCGAAAGCGUGGGGAGCGAACAGGAUUAGAUACCCUGGUAGUCCACGCCGUAAACGGUGGAUGCUGGAUGUGGGGCCCGUUCCACGGGUUCCGUGUCGGAGCUAACGCGUUAAGCAUCCCGCCUGGGGAGUACGGCCGCAAGGCUAAAACUCAAAGAAAUUGACGGGGGCCCGCACAAGCGGCGGAGCAUGCGGAUUAAUUCGAUGCAACGCGAAGAACCUUACCUGGGCUUGACAUGUUCCCGACAGCCGUAGAGAUACGGUCUCCCUUCGGGGCGGGUUCACAGGUGGUGCAUGGUCGUCGUCAGCUCGUGUCGUGAGAUGUUGGGUUAAGUCCCGCAACGAGCGCAACCCUCGCCCUGUGUUGCCAGCACGUCGUGGUGGGAACUCACGGGGGACCGCCGGGGUCAACUCGGAGGAAGGUGGGGAUGACGUCAGAUCAUCAUGCCCCUUACGUCCAGGGCUUCACGCAUGCUACAAUGGCCGGUACAACGGGAUGCGACCUCGUGAGGGGGAGCGGAUCCCUUAAAACCGGUCUCAGUUCGGAUUGGAGUCUGCAACCCGACUCCAUGAAGGCGGAGUCGCUAGUAAUCGCGGAUCAGCAACGCCGCGGUGAAUGCGUUCCCGGGCCUUGUACACACCGCCCGUCAAGUCAUGAAAGUGGGUAGCACCCGAAGCCGGUGGCCCAACCUUUUGGGGGGAGCCGUCUAAGGUGAGACUCGUGAUUGGGACUAAGUCGUAACAAGGUAGCCGUACCGGAAGGUGCGGCUG